rnacentral:rRNA from 1 species
UGGGGAAUAUUGGGCAAUGGACGCAAGUCUGACCCAGCAACGCCGCGUGAAGGAAGAAGGCUUUCGGGUUGUAAACUUCUUUUAAGGGGGAACAGUAGAAGAGGGUACCCCUUGAAUAAGCCACGGCUAACUACGUGCCAGCAGCCGCGGUAAUACGUAGGUGGCAAGCGUUGUCCGGAUUUACUGGGUGUAAAGGGAGUGUAGGCGGGACUGUAAGUCAGAUGUGAAAUAUGCCGGCUCAACUGGCAGACUGCAUUUGAAACUGUGAUUCUUGAGUGAAGUAGAGGUAAGCGGAAUUCCUGGUGUAGCGGUGAAAUGCGUAGAUAUCAGGAGGAACAUCAGUGGCGAAGGCGGCUUACUGGGGCUUUAACUGACGCU